AAAUUAAUGAAAAAAAUCUAUAUUAAACAAAAGUAGAGCCAAAAAAUUAACAAAGCCCAUGAUUACAAACAAAUAAAUAAAAUAUUAUCAUUAUAAAAGGUAAGAGGCAGCCCUAAUUUCUUCAUCUUCAACCUGCGCCUCUCAUAUCUUCUUUUUCAUCUUUGUUUUGUUUUUUGACUUCUGCAUAAAUACUUUUUCUUCCAGCAACACAUCAAACAUUCAAACAAAUAAAAUCCCUAAUA
rnacentral:lncRNA from 1 species